GAAAUUUGGGUGCAGAACCAAAACCACCAUAUUUUGAAUCAUAACUUUCCGCCAGAUGAUCAGCACAUUUACGCAGAGCGGUUUGCGGAACCUCAUCUGAGAGCUUAUUUGAUGUUGAAGUUGCCGCCAAGGCUUCUGAUAAUUGUUCUAUUGCAAAUGCCCCACUCUGGAUAAGCGUAUCUCUCUUGCUAUUCCACGCUUCCUUCACUUUCCUAAGUAUAGUUUUAAAUCCCGGCCUUCCAAAUUUGUCCUCUGGUGGAAAGUAAGUCCCACCCAUCAAAGGCUUCAAAUCAGGUGAAAGGAAGGCACUUAGUGGCCAACCACCACCACCAUAUAAGGCUUGCACAUAUGUCAUGU
rnacentral:misc_RNA from 1 species